CGCCUCUCAGGAUCACACCUGGAGAGUUUCCAGUACUCUACCAGUCUUGGCUACAGAAGGGAGUGCCAAGCCGAGGCCUACCCAUUCCAUUUCAAGCUUAAUCAGUGGCUAGAGAGUGGAAGACAAUCUGCUACAAGU